rnacentral:ncRNA from 1 species
ACUUCAAGGCAGGGUGAAAUUCCCGACCGGCGGUAUAUGACUUGAUCGCGAAGCGAUCGAGUCGCGGCGACAUCGACGAAGUCGAUGUUGGUCACUUGGCCAGCCGCAACCUACAAGUCCGCAAACCGCACAAAGUGCGGCCGAUCCGGUGUGAUUCCGGAACCGACAGUAUAGUCUGGAUGAGAGAAGGAG